CUGGCUCAGGACGAACGCUGGCGGCGUGCCUAAUACAUGCAAGUCGAACGAACUCUGGUAUUGAUUGGUGCUUGCAUCAUGAUUUACAUUUGAGUGAGUGGCGAACUGGUGAGUAACACGUGGGAAACCUGCCCAGAAGCGGGGGAUAACACCUGGAAACAGAUGCUAAUACCGCAUAACAACUUGGACCGCAUGGUCCGAGUUUGAAAGAUGGCUUCGGCUAUCACUUUUGGAUGGUCCCGCGGCGUAUUAGCUAGAUGGUGGGGUAACGGCUCACCAUGGCAAUGAUACGUAGCCGACCUGAGAGGGUAAUCGGCCACAUUGGGACUGAGACACGGCCCAAACUCCUACGGGAGGCAGCAGUAGGGAAUCUUCCACAAUGGACGAAAGUCUGAUGGAGCAACGCCGCGUGAGUGAAGAAGGGUUUCGGCUCGUAAAACUCUGUUGUUAAAGAAGAACAUAUCUGAGAGUAACUGUUCAGGUAUUGACGGUAUUUAACCAGAAAGCCACGGCUAACUACGUGCCAGCAGCCGCGGUAAUACGUAGGUGGCAAGCGUUGUCCGGAUUUAUUGGGCGUAAAGCGAGCGCAGGCGGUUUUUUAAGUCUGAUGUGAAAGCCUUCGGCUCAACCGAAGAAGUGCAUCGGAAACUGGGAAACUUGAGUGCAGAAGAGGACAGUGGAACUCCAUGUGUAGCGGUGAAAUGCGUAGAUAUAUGGAAGAACACCAGUGGCGAAGGCGGCUGUCUGGUCUGUAACUGACGCUGAGGCUCGAAAGUAUGGGUAGCAAACAGGAUUAGAUACCCUGGUAGUCCAUACCGUAAACGAUGAAUGCUAAGUGUUGGAGGGUUUCCGCCCUUCAGUGCUGCAGCUAACGCAUUAAGCAUUCCG
rnacentral:rRNA from 1 species